rnacentral:rRNA from 1 species
ACAGCAGCCGCCGCGGUAAUACAGAGGGUGCGAGCGUUAAUCGGAUUUACUGGGCGUAAAGCGUGCGUAGGCGGCUAAUUGAGUCGGAUGUGAAAUCCCCGAGCUUAACUUGGGAAUUGCAUUCGAUACUGGUUAGCUAGAGUGUGGGAGAGGAUGGUAGAAUUCCAGGUGUAGCGGUGAAAUGCGUAGAGAUCUGGAGGAAUACCGAUGGCGAAGGCAGCCAUCUGGCCUAACACUGACGCUGAGGUACGAAAGCAUGGGGAGCAAACAGGAUUAGAUACCCCCGUAGUCCCUGUCUCUUAUAC